rnacentral:lncRNA from 1 species
UUCAGCAAGGAAAGUUUUAAUGAAUAAACUUAGUAAAUUAGAAAGCACUGCGGCAGAGUGAUUAACUCUCAUUUGGGCAUUAGUGUUGAAAUUAAUUAAAAUGUUUAAGCCAUAGGAGGCAGGCUACCUCGUCAGGACCUGGCUCUGCCCUCGGAGUCAGUCUGGAUCCAGGAGUGAUUCAUCUUACACAGAUGAGAGGGGGAUAAAAGGAAAAGAACAGUCAGGACAAAUGUGUUUUCAAUGGUGCUUAGCAGCAGGAGACCACUGGGACUUCAGAGCAACGCUACUGGAGUGUGACAUCAUAAUACGAAUGCUGCAGUCUGCUGUCUUCAAGACCACUCACCAAUUAGCUCUGUUUCCCUGCUCUUUUUAAACCUGCUUGCCACCGUUAAUGUUCCUGCGGUGACAUGAAGAGAGCCCCAUUCAUUUCAAAUAUCUACGGACUCGAUGACCUCUCUAAGUUAGAACAUCCUAAGAGAAAUCCAAGGACAACCUAUUUCCUGGAAGCCACCAAUCUAAGUGAAUAGUCUAACCCUGGGGAUAGCUUUUCUUCAUUACAUGAAACCCCAGUUACUGAGACAACUGGGGUCCUGAGGGAAUUUUCCUUCGAUGUCUGUGGUUCUCAAUCUUUUUGUGGAUCGAGGACCCUUUUGAGACUAUAACAAAAACUAUGAUCCCUCUCUUGAGAAAAAUAUUGAUACACAGAAAAUUUUGCAUGUUUGAGGGAUUCAUAGCAUUCCUCAGAUUGCCAUAAGUUAAGAACUGCUAUUCUAAAUAGGGUUAAAAAAAAAAAAA